rnacentral:miRNA from 1 species
ACUGUUGAUGUGAGUUAUUGA